rnacentral:sRNA from 1 species
AUAAGAGAGAAGAGAUACAAAGAGAAAGGAGAAGAAAGAGAGAGAGAGAGAGAGAGAGAGAGAGAGCAU